CACUACAGCCAUGCCACCCUGAACAAGCCCAAUCCUGUCUGAUCUUGGAAGCUAAGCAGGGUCGGACCUGGUUAGUACUUGGGUGGGAGACCACCUAGGAAGACCAGGUGCUGUAGGUG
rnacentral:rRNA from 1 species